AGAGUUUGAUCCUGGCUCAGAUUGAACGCUGGCGGCAGGCCUAACACAUGCAAGUCGAGCGGAUGAAGAGAGCUUGCUCUCUGAUUCAGCGGCGGACGGGUGAGUAAUGCCUAGGAAUCUGCCUGGUAGUGGGGGACAACGUCUCGAAAGGGACGCUAAUACCGCAUACGUCCUACGGGAGAAAGCAGGGGACCUUCGGGCCUUGCGCUAUCAGAUGAGCCUAGGUCGGAUUAGCUAGUUGGUGAGGUAAUGGCUCACCAAGGCGACGAUCCGUAACUGGUCUGAGAGGAUGAUCAGUCACACUGGAACUGAGACACGGUCCAGACUCCUACGGGAGGCAGCAGUGGGGAAUAUUGGACAAUGGGCGAAAGCCUGAUCCAGCCAUGCCGCGUGUGUGAAGAAGGUCUUCGGAUUGUAAAGCACUUUAAGUUGGGAGGAAGGGCAGUAAGCGAAUACCUUGCUGUUUUGACGUUACCGACAGAAUAAGCACCGGCUAACUCUGUGCCAGCAGCCGCGGUAAU
rnacentral:rRNA from 1 species